UCAGUGCUUCACCAUGAACAACCUAUCAACCUUCGCAGCCCUUGAUGCCAACCCACUCUCCAAACCUUGCUACUUGGGCGCCCAACACAAUAGGUUUAACCUCCUCCAGCGCCCCAGAAAUGUUGUUGUAUGCUCUGUGAAACCCUCAGUUGCCUCGCCCUCAUCGCUAAGUGUGGCUGGGUCACCCAACAGCGGACCUAAUCGAAUUGAGUCUCUAACCCAGGUGUCCGGAGUUUUAGGCUGCCAGUGGGGUGAUGAAGGUAAAGGCAAACUCGUUGACAUCUUGGCCCAGCACUUUGACGUUGUUGCUCGUUGUCAGGUAAGACAAAGAACACUCUGCUAUUUUGUAAUCUUUGCUGCAAAUUUUUACUUCUGGUUUUUUGGGUUUCUGAUUGCUAGUAUUGAGCAGUCUUGCUUCACCAUGAACAACCUGUCGACCUUCGCAGCCCUUGAUGCCAACCCACUCUCUAAACCUUGCUACUUGGGCGCCCAACACAAUAGGUUUAACCUCCUCCAGCGCCCCAGAAAUGUUGUUGUAUGCUCUGUGAAGCCCUCAGUUGCCUCGCCCUCAUCGCUAAGUGUGGCUGGGUCACCCAACAGCGGACCUAAUCGAAUUGAGUCUCUAACCCAGGUGUCCGGAGUUUUGGGCUGCCAGUGGGGUGAUGAAGGUAAAGGCAAACUCGUUGACAUCUUGGCCCAGCACUUUGACGUUGUUGCUCGUUGUCAGAUUGGGAAUGGUGUUGUGGUGCAUCUUCCAGGCCUCUUUAAAGAGAUUGAUGGCCUUGAAUCCAAUGGAGUGUCUUGCAAGGGAAGGAUAUUGGUCUCUGAUCGUGCUCACCUUUUAUUUGAUUUCCACCAAGAAGUGGAUAGGCUUCGAGAAGCUGAGCUUGCUAAAUCUUUCAUCGGUACAACCAAGAGAGGCAUUGGACCUUGUUAUUCUAGCAAGGUUAUCCGGAAUGGCAUUCGAGUUGGUGACUUGAGGCACAUGGACACUUUACCUCAGAAGCUAGAUAUUCUGUUGUCAGAUGCUGCAUCAAGAUUCAAAGAUUUUAAGUAUGACCCCCAGAUGCUUAGAGAAGAAGUAGAAAAGUACAAGAGAUUUGCUGAGAGAUUGGAACCCUUCAUUGCUGAUACUGUACUUGUUGUGAAUGAAGCCAUCUCCGAGAAGAAAAAGAUUUUAGUUGAAGGGGGUCAGGCAACAAUGUUGGAUAUUGACUUUGGAACAUACCCCUUUGUCACUUCCUCAAGUCCUUCAGCUGGUGGGAUUUGUACUGGUUUGGGUAUUGCUCCCAGAGUUUUAGGUGAUCUUGUUGGAGUGGUGAAAGCAUACACUACAAGAGUUGGUUCUGGUCCUUUCCCCACUGAAAACUUAGGUAAAGAGGGUGACCUUCUUAGGUUGCAAGGUCAAGAGUUUGGAACAACUACCGGUCGCCCUCGUCGCUGUGGUUGGCUUGAUAUAGUAGCACUGAAAUACUGCUGCCAGAUUAAUGGCUUUUCUUCUCUCAAUCUCACCAAACUAGAUGUUUUGUCUGAUUUUCCCGCAAUUCAGUUGGGUAUUGCCUACAAAACUAGUGAUGGGACACCAAUCAAAUCAUUCCCUGGAGAUCUUCGCCUUCUUGAGCAAGUGAAAGUUGAAUAUGAAGUAUUACCCGGAUAGAAUUCCGAUAUCUCCAAUGUAAGAAGCUACUCUGAACUUCCAAAAGCUGCAAGACAGUACGUGGAAAGAAUAGAAGAACUUGUUGGUGUACCUAUCCAUUACAUUGGUGUCGGACCUGGACGUGAUGCUCUCAUUUACAAAUAG